GUAUCACAUUCGUCGAACACACUGACCACCUUGGCAAUGGACUAUGCAGUGGAUCGACUAUGACACAAAAAUCUGUAAGUUCUAGGAGGGAACCCUCAUCAUUGGUGAGAGGUCUGAGUAACAUGUGGGCCUACAGGACUGAUCCAGUGGUCGAAAACCAGCCAACAAGCCAGCCAACAAUGGAUGCGGCUGUAGACACCAGAUUGAACUCAGGAGAAGAUGCAGUGAUUGAGCAAAACGCAAUACAGCAUGAUCCAGACAGUGUGUGCCCGUGUUGUGUCAAACUUGACAGCAGUUUUAUUACACUUUAGUGUCAAUAAAUACAUUUCUUAAACUGA